GAAGAAAACACCCACUGGCUGUUAAAUAUGACCAGCGGGUUGAACCUUCAAUCAGAAUCUACACUGCUGUUCAGGUCACUGUGGAUGAGAAAUGAUAAAAUCUUCACAUGGAGCUGAAUAUAACUACGCAACAUGCUCAGCGAGAGGUUUUAGGGGAAUUUCAGCAACAAAUGUCAACAAAAAUGUGUGAAAGUCAACUCCUAGCAUCCUCUGCAAUUACUCUGCUAAACAGAAAACGGAAGAUAAAACAGAUCCAGUGGUAGGAGACACUAGUAAGGACUCCAGAGGAACAAAAAAGCUACAUUCACCCCAAAGGUUGAGGAGAUAAAGCUGCUGGAAAGUGCUUCCAUCUGUGGUCUGCUUCUCCCUCUAGUCUGUAGAGGAACUGACACCUUACAUUCAGGCCUGGUGGUUGUUUGAAGC